GUGUUGUUACACUAUUAACACAUUUUGUGUGAAUUUUAACAUAACAUGUGUAAGAAAAUGUGUAAACAUUGAAAAAAUGUGUAAAAAGCUUAACACACUUGAUGUGUUGCACAGUUUAACACAUUUUGUGUGUUAUUUUCGGAAUCUAACAACAGGACCUAAAAUUAGCAGCGCAGUAAUUUGAUGCUAGCCCUUUGUUUAGUGAAAUAAAUUGUAGAUGAACAAUGUAUUAAAACUAUAUUAACUGAAUAAAUAAAAUGUUUAGUUAUUGUUUGUUUUACAUAAUCAUUUCCUCAUUACUUUCAACAAAUAACACAUUUUAUAAUGUAAUGUGGACCAAGGUGUGUAUGGUGUACUAAAAUUCUGAAAGAGGAUUAAUUUUUUAUUUCUCAAUGUGUAUGGCAUACCAAUUAAUGGCCAUGGCUAUACUAUAAGCAUGAGUAUCCACACAGAACAGGCUUAAUUUUGACCGUAACAUGUGAACUAGGGCAAUACAAUUGAAGUAAAAGUAGAAAAUGAAAUGAGUAAGAACACACAUGCUGAAAAUUGAAACAAAUUCCGCCCAGCAACAUGACAUACCAGCGGCGGGAAGGGGGCGCUAUCUUUUCGCGCCACUGAGACAAAGGAGACAAAGAUGGAGGUUAUGUCUCCUAGUAUGUUGUCAGACCUUACAGCAUGGAGGAAACAUACACCAGUCGCAGAGCCUGCAUUAGCAAGGACUCCCCCACUGCCGCUGAAAUAUUCAGAGAGUACCCACGGUUUUUGGACAUGCCAAGUCUGGUGGACUUGGAGUUUGGCAAGCUUACAGGAGGAAAGACGGAUCUCUUUUUACGAAAAUGGGAAGCCAGUAUCAUUCCGAAGCUCAAAUCAGUAGCUGCCCUGGAAACAAGAGUGAUCUAAAGAGUGCAACCAGGCAGUACAUCACUGUUGCUAAGAAUGACAGAGUAACCAUUUCUCUGAAUGAAGCCCAGACGUGUGUUGUGGAUAAGCUUUUCAAACUGUAUUGGGUAUGUAACUUGUCCUAUCCAGCACCGCUUGUCUUCACCUUCUUUGAGUUUGUCUAUGACCUGCCGCUGUCCACCCAAAGGAAAACCAAAGUACUGGAGCUGAUUGCACAGAUUAAAGCAUGCAAGUAAAAUGUUUACCUGUCCAAAAUGUAGAGAGUCUCUGUUCACAAAGGUGAGAAACCUCAUUUGGCAUCUUUGUCAAAUACACUGCUUAUCAGGACUCUGACCUGCCUAUGCAGUGGAAAGGUCAGACAAUAUGAACUGAUUGGGUGAAAUUUUUGAUUUUCGGCCUUUAUAUAUAGUGACAAGCUUUGAUGCUAAUAAGCUGUAUUUAAACCCAAGGUACAAAAUUGUAUAACCUGGAUGCUAUAUUCGCCAAAAUGUAUGUUUUUCUGUUUGCAUGCAACUGCGCAUUUGUUGAAUGUUGACAAUUUGUUGAAGAUGACAAUUGUUGCCUUUAAAAAAAUUUAAUUCAUGUAUUGUCUGGACAUGAUUAUA